rnacentral:lncRNA from 1 species
UUUAAGCGGGGAAGCCCUACUGCGUUUGCCCACCUCUCCUGGUACAUCGUGGUUCCAUCCUGGUUUGUGGUUCCAUCACAAUUCCAUUUUUAAAAAAUGUUUUUCAAUGAUAACCAACUGCUUUAUUUGGCUAUUUUUUUUCCCAAGUCGUGAAUUUAAUAUGCACCAUUUCUUCAACCAAACUAAAAAUCGACCUCAGUUGGCAACAUCGUGAUUAAGCUUACGAAUAAAAUUUGAAGCAAAGAUUCUGGUUCAGACACGUGUCUACUGCUGUACCAAAGUGUUUCGAUAGCUCAAGUUUAAUGGAAGACAUUUUUGGGAGGCGUAUCCGAAAGAAUGUUUAAACUGUAGAUCAGCUAAAGAAGUAGAUGUAAGAAAAGAAAUGGCUGAGAAAAGGAAAUUUUAGCUGUAAGGACUGUACAAUACUGCAGAGGUUCCUGUUAAUAAUCUACUUCAUGUUUUCAUUGUUUUUGGGAGCGUGGGAAAUGUGAUAUUUGUCACACACUCAAACAGACGAAUGAUAACAAGAACAUGGAGGAGUAGAGUGUUAUUUGUGCUGGAGCAGAUAAAGAAAUUAAAGUUGGGCAUCAAAAACUAGGCUUUACUUCAUGCACAAUGUGAUUUGGUUACCAGCUGUGCAGAACAGACUCAGUCCAUCCUCAAAAAGCCUAAGAUUAAAAUGGACUGGAAUUCCCAGAUGGCCCAUUCAUUUUAAAGAGUAACUGGGUUCUCCAGAUCUGACCAGAACGUUGAUUACCGACCUAGCGUGGGGAACAAGAAAUUAACGUUUCGUCGAUCAUCCGUGAAUCGCAGACUUUUCCCCUGUGGAGAAGUCAAGGUUCCGCAAUGUUCCCUGUACAUUGCAAUUUUUCAUCCAAACCUGUUCCAUUCACAUCAGCCUGCUGAGUGUAAAAGACAACUUUGUGGUUGAAAACUAAAUAAGUUUGAAAAUUUACACUGAACACUCUGUGCAGUUUUUAAGUGAAACUUUGAUUAUUGCUACGGCUUUGGUGUGAUGUGUUCCAUGAAUUGCGCAGGCGUCGCAAAUUAGCCGUGGUCAAUGGAUGAUUGGGUGACAGGUGAAGUGCCUUCAGGUAAACUUGUUCAGCUUCAUGGAAUUUGCCUUGAACGUGCAGCACAGCACCUAAAUUGAUUCUCUAACCAUGGGAACGAGAGCGACGGCUCUACGGAAGUAAACCUCGGCUUCAACAUUCCGACUGGCGUCGUGCAGAGCGUGAGCGGCAGCCACGGUCCACGCAAUGCUGUCAGGUUCGAUUCGAACGACCUGGAUGUACACCUCUGCGGCUUCGUCGUGUCUCUUCCGGGCAGAUAGGAAUUCGCCUGUCAAAUUACAUGACGGCGGAUUGAUUUCUAUGCCGGAUCGGUACAGGUGUUCCUCGUCGAUCCAGUCGUUGUUCCUUUGGAUCGUUCGCCGUCCCGAAGCCAAUAAAACAAUCAGCAACGCAAAGCAGAUGAUUGUUCGAUUCGACUGCUGGACAAGUAAUUUUUGCACCCCGAUUCCGACGAGGAGACAGAAACCGACCGAAGUCUUACGGACGACCGUGACGAGAAUUGCGUAGAAAAUUAGCGUAGCCAUAUUGCGGAUGUCAUUAAUGCAAGUGACGGGCUGGAUGGCGUCCAUGGACCAAUCGAAACUGAGCCAUCGCGGAUACAGCAACAGACCAAAAUGAAAUACCUAAGCUACUGGUAAAUAGAGAAAUGUGAGGGUACGAGUUGUCCAUGACGACGAUGCAGCUGUUGGAUUGUCCGCCUUAGCAAAUUGCGGUCUCUGGAAGCCGGAUAUCCAAAAGCGAUUGUCGAGGAUGGCCGUGAAUGACGAGGACGACGUCGUAAAGGAGACAGAUGGGCGUCAACAUGAUGCCGUACUCUUUGCUGAAGAAAGCGGCACAAGUCAAAACCAACGUCAUCGUUAAACUAGCCCGUCUACCGUAGUUGACAAGGCCGGCUAGGACGAAGAAAGUGCAUAGCAAAUCUGCCCGUCCGACCAAUCCAGCCACAGCUUCGCAAUGGAUCGGGAAUAAUGUUGAUGCUCCUCCGGCUAUCAUGGUCACCGCAGCAGUAAUCACACAGUGAAGCAGGACGUUUGUCCAAUGGUACCAAUAGGCAUGAUUUACUCCGACCAGAUGUGCGGUCCAGCGAAAUGAUAGCGUUACCAAAGGGCGGUACGAUCCGUGCGAUUCGGAAGCGUUGAGCGGAGUGCCCCAAAAGUCAUGCACCAUCAGAGCGCUCAUGGUGGACGACUCGGAAGCAACGGUUUAUGGUUGUCUAAUAAAACGAAAAAGGAGCGGCCGUGGCAGUGAUACUGUGAUGAGCAUUUAGAUGAUAUCAGUUAAACGGCCGUACAAAAUACGCAACGGAAGGCCACAGUCGAAGAAUGCUCUAUGGCUAGCGGAAUAAAAAUAUUUCCACUUGAAUAUAUCAUAGCCGGCAGCGGAAAAAAAAAAUGGCUCGUGUGGAGAAUUGUUGUUGCUGGCAUUCGAUUGAGACUAAUCAAAAGGUAUGCCCCAGGCUGUGAUGAUCGUCCUAUCACGUCGCCUGAACGAACCCUGCAGGCAGUUUCCCGUCAACGCCGUUGAGUGACGAGGAUAGAAUUUCGUGGGAAAGCCCUGUUGGCCGCCAAAUUCGGUGACAUCUAGGGGAGAAGCCACCAACUCCUUAAAAGUUGCAUUGGCAUGUCAUUCACUGUCGCCUGCCGUUGACUGAGGAUGGUUGUCAAAAUGGAUGUCGCCUUCAUUGAAAUUUAUCAUCUACCGAUUCUGUUUGUCUUGAGGUCUCCCCGAUGUACCUGACUGUGUUGGCCAUGUGAUCACCCUGUGCCAGAAACGACUACAACUAUUUUUAUAUUGUAGUGUAAAUAAAAUAUAUCCACAACAA